rnacentral:lncRNA from 1 species
CUUAAAUUUGUUUAUGUACACAGCAAUCUAUUUUCAUUUAAAUAAAAUCAGGAAGCUAAAACAAAGUUAAAACUAUCAUGAUAACCAGAAGUGAGGUUUCAUCGCCAAAAGUUUUUAAAAAUUGUCGCUAAUAGAAGGGGCACCCAAAUCUACACUGCAGCCUAAUGGCCAUGGAAGAAAUAAAUAUGGAAUUCCUGAGAUGUGGAAGAUUCCGAACAAGCGGAUGGAUUCGAGAGUUUUGGAAGGGAAACGUUUGACUUUUCUAUGCCAGAAGUUACAGCUUACGUUCGUAAGACGAACCAGUCUUUCUUGAGGGAAGGUGCGGUUAAAGGAUCUUCAAAAUCUUAGAAACAAUACCUAUUAUUGGAGGGUUCACACCAGAAAAGAAGUGAUACUCUAAGGUUGGCCAAUAUAGAGGACAAUCGUGCCAACUGGAUAAAGGACCAACAAGGAAAGGGAAUGACAAUUUCAACUGUAAAAAUUCGCUUGCAAGCAAAAGUUACGGCAAAACAAACAAACAUAAAUGAUAUCAAAAGGGGGCCUUGUGGUUGUAGCAAA